rnacentral:lncRNA from 1 species
UGUGGUAGUGGUGGCUGGUGGUAAAAAGAGGAGAUGCUAUGGAUGAUAGGCAGUAGCACCAAGAUCUGAAUCAACCCAGCUAGAAUUUUCAGUGUGUAGUUGUGUGCAAACCUUGACAAAUGAUGUCCAGCUAGGCUUUGUUUGGCUGCACCUGUGGAGUUGUGGGCAAUCUGCCUAGUCAUUCUUCCCCUCCUUGUCCAUGUACUCUCCUUCCGGCUCUUUCCUCGACACAAAGAGGGUGAAUCUCAUACAAAUAACCAAUGCAGCCAAUGGUACAGUGAUUAUGCGUAGUUUGAAGAGGCUGUUACUGGCGUCCUCAACGAUCCCCUUGACCCCCCGCCACCGUCGUUGCUCAGCAGCGCCGAGCCCAGCCGGUCGAUCCGAGGCCUCUGGCCAGGAACAACGUGUGCUCCUGCGAGAUGUGCUACCCUUGCCGGCAACCGCACGCUGCCGCCUCAACAGGAGCACGCCGCCCUACCUGCCUCCCUCACCCUGCGCCCCUUCUCCUUCUCAUUUCUUCCUCUCUCCCUCACGCCCUGUCUCUCUCUUUCUCUGGAUGAGUAGGGCAUCAGCCGCCGCCAUCUAGCAAGCUGCCGCACCAGCCACCAGAUCCGUCGAUGCCGCGCCUGAAUCCGUCAGUUUUCGCGCCGCCGCCGCGGCUCUUACCACCCGCCGGCCCGUUCCGGCGAACUCCAGCGCCGCCUGCCCGUUUCGACGGAGUUGGCCGGGUGAUGAAGAGCGGUGCGGCAAAGGAGGAGGAGAGAGAGGAGUUGGGGGAAGGUGUGGCGUCGGCGUUGAGUGUUCCCGGUGGUGGAAAGCCGCAGGGUGGUGGCGGCGCACGGCGGAGGAGCGGUGGCCGGCGGGGGCGUCACGCGGCGGAGGGCUGGCAGGGGCGGCGCGUGGCGGAGGGGCGGUGGCCGGCGGGGGCGGCGCGUGGCGUGGCGUGGAAGGGUGUGGCGGCGCCUGGAGGUGGAGAUGCGGGAGAUAAGGUCG